CCUACGGGCGGCAGCAGUGGGGAAUAUUGCGCAAUGGGCGAAAGCCUGACGCAGCGACGCCGCGUGAGGGAUGAAGGUCUUCGGAUCGUAAACCUCUGUCAGCAGGGAAGAACGGUCACUGUGCUAAUCAGCAGUGAAUUGACGGUACCUGCAAAGGAAGCACCGGCUAACUCCGGGCCAGCAGCCGCGGUAAUACGGAGGGUGCGAGCGUUAGUCGGAAUUACUGGGCGUAAAGCGCUCGUAGGCGGUAUGUCAAGUCAAGGGUGAAAUCCCCGCGCUCAACGUGGGAACUGCCUUUGAAACUGGCAAACUGGGGUGUGUGAGAGGAUAGAGGAAUUCCAGGUGUAGGAGUGAAAUCCGUAGAUAUCUGGAGGAACAUCAGUGGCGAAGGCGACUAUCUGGCACAUAACUGACGCUGAGGAGCGAAAGCGUGGGUAGCAAACAGGAUUAGAUACCCCUGUAGUC
rnacentral:rRNA from 1 species